CAGAACCAAACCUCGUAUGCCGUCACCAAAGAGUGAGCCAAAGUCCUACUCAGGUCAUGAUUCUGAUGCUGAAUACACCAACAUGGACGAACUCAACAUGUAUGGAAACAUCUGAUGAUAAUGAACAACACAAAGUUCAACACAGUGUUUUUUAAAUGCUCAAUAUAAAUACAUAGAUCAGAUUGUAUACUUUCAGAAAUAGUCAGUCUUUUUUUCUUAGUCAAGAUGCUUGUAUUGAGUUUGCUGUUGACCUGCAUUUAUUUUACAUUGAUGUUGUUGUCUCUGCUCUACUCUGCUAUUGAUCAAUGUUUUCCAGCAUAUC